AGAGUUUGAUCAUGGCUCAGGAUGAACGCCGGCGGUGUGCCUAAUACAUGCAAGUCGAACGCGUUGGCCCAACUGAUUGAACGUGCUUGCACGGACUUGACGUUGGUUUACCAGCGAGUGGCGGACGGGUGAGUAACACGUAGGUAACCUGCCCCAAAGCGGGGGAUAACAUUUGGAAACAGAUGCUAAUACCGCAUAACAAUUUGAAUCGCAUGAUUCAAAUUUAAAAGAUGGCUUCGGCUAUCACUUUGGGAUGGACCUGCGGCGCAUUAGCUUGUUGGUAGGGUAACGGCCUACCAAGGCUGUGAUGCGUAGCCGAGUUGAGAGACUGAUCGGCCACAAUGGAACUGAGACACGGUCCAUACUCCUACGGGAGGCAGCAGUAGGGAAUCUUCCACAAUGGGCGCAAGCCUGAUGGAGCAACACCGCGUGAGUGAAGAAGGGUUUCGGCUCGUAAAGCUCUGUUGUUAGAGAAGAACGUGCGUGAGAGCAACUGUUCACGCAGUGACGGUAUCUAACCAGAAAGUCACGGCUAACUACGUGCCAGCAGCCGCGGUAAUACGUAGGUGGCAAGCGUUAUCCGGAUUUAUUGGGCGUAAAGCGAGCGCAGGCGGUUUGAUAAGUCUGAUGUGAAAGCCUUUGGCUUAACCAAAGAAGCGCAUCGGAAACUGUCAGACUUGAGUGCAGAAGAGGACAGUGGAACUCCAUGUGUAGCGGUGGAAUGCGUAGAUAUAUGGAAGAACACCAGUGGCGAAGGCGGCUGUCUGGUCUGCAACUGACGCUGAGGCUCGAAAGCAUGGGUAGCGAACAGGAUUAGAUACCCUGGUAGUCCAUGCCGUAAACGAUGAGUGCUAGGUGUUGGAGGGUUUCCGCCCUUCAGUGCCGCAGCU
rnacentral:rRNA from 1 species